rnacentral:rRNA from 1 species
UACAGAGGCCUCGAGCGUUAGGCGGAAUCACUGGGCUUAAAGCGUGUGUAGGCGGACUUCUAAGUGCCUUGUGAAAUCCCACGGCUCACCCGUGGAACUGCUGGGCAUACUGGGAGUCUUGAGCCACCUAGGGGCGACCGGAACAAAUGGUGGAGCGGUGAAAUGCGCAGAUAUCAUUUGGAACGCCAAUGGUGAAAACAGGUCGCUGGGAGUGUGCUGACGCUGAGACACGAAAGCCAGGGGAGCAAACGGG